rnacentral:ncRNA from 1 species
UGGUCCUAACCUUGAAAUCAAUUUUUACUUGACCUACACAUGCAAGUCUCCGCACACCCGUGAGAAUGCCCUUUCACCCACUUAGGGAUAAGGAGCUGAUAUCAGGCACUAUAAGUUGCCCAAAACAUCUAGCCACGCCACACCCACAAGGGCCCUCAGCAGUGAUUAACAUUAAAAAUAAACGUCAGUUUGAUUCAGCCAAUGAAAACAGAACCGGCCAAUCUGGUGCCAGCCGCCGCGGUUACACCACGUGGUUCAAAUUGAUUUUUUCCGGCGUAAAGCGUGAUUAAGAAAACAACCUACUGGGGGUCAAACUUAAACUAAGCUGUAACACGCUUGUUUUUAAGAAAGCCACACUUUAUAGUACCUCUAUACAUCUACCUGAAUUCACGAUAACUGGGACACAAACUGGGAUUAGAUACCCCACUAUGCCUAGUCAUAAACUCUAAAUUACAUCAUCAUCGCCUGGGAACUACGAGCAAUGCUUAAAACCCAAAGGACUUGACGGUACCCCACAUCCCCCUAGAGGAGCCUGUCCUAUAAUCGAUACCCCGCGUUUAACCUCACCAUUUUUAGUUCUCAGCCUGUAUACUUCCGUCGCCAGCUUACCGCAUGAGCGUUUCAAGUAAGCCUAAUGUUCACCCACCAAUACGUCAGGUCAAAGUGCAGCAAAUAAGAUGGGAAGAGAUGGGCUACACUUUCUACCAUAGAAAAUACGGAAGACUACAUGAAAUACCAGUCAGAAGGCGGAUUUAGUAGUAAGCAAAGCAGAAUACUUUUCUUAACUUGGCACUGGGGUGUGUACACACCGCCCGUCACCCUCUUCAACAUAUUACUUUAGUUUAUAACAUCUAUCUACACUUAGAAGAGAUAAGUCGUAACAUGGUAAGUAUACCGGAAGGUGUGCUUGGAAA